UGGGGAAUUUUGGACAAUGGGCGCAAGCCUGAUCCAGCCAUGCCGCGUGAGUGAAGAAGGCCUUCGGGUUGUAAAGCUCUUUCGGCGGGGACGAAACGGUCCGUGCUAACAACACGGACUAAUGACGGUACUCGCAGAAGAAGCACCGGCUAACUACGUGCCAGCAGCCGCGGUAAUACGUAGGGUGCAGGCGUUAAUCGGAAUUACUGGGCGUAAAGCGUGCGCAGGCGGCUCCUUAAGUCAGAGGUGAAAUCCCGGAGCUCAACUUCGGAACUGCCUUUGAUACUGGCAAUCUCGAGUCCGGAAGAGGUUAGUGGAAUUCCCAGUGUAGAGGUGAAAUUCGUAGAUAUUGGGAAGAACACCAGUGGCGAAGGCGGCUAACUGGUCCGGUACUGACGCUGAGGUGCGAAAGCGUGGGGAGCAAACAGGAUUAGAUACCCAAGUAGUCCCUGAGCGGGC
rnacentral:rRNA from 1 species